ensembl:snRNA U6 U6 spliceosomal RNA
GUAGUCACUUCUGCAGCACAAAUACUAAAACUGGAACAAUACAGAAAAGAUUAGCAUGUCCCCCGUUCAAGGAGGGAACACUAUUAUAGUCACCCCUUUGA